UACGGAGGGUGCGAGCGUUGUCCGGAAUCACUGGGCGUAAAGGGCACGUAGGCGGCUUUCUAAGUCAGGGGUGAAAUCCUGGAGCUCAACUCCAGAACUGCCUUUGAUACUGGAGAGCUAGAGUCCGGAAGAGGUGAGUGGAACUGCGAGUGUAGAGGUGAAAUUCGUAGAUAUUCGCAAGAACACCAGUGGCGAAGGCGGCUCACUGGUCCGGUACUGACGCUGAGGUGCGAAAGCGUGGGGAGCAAACAGG
rnacentral:rRNA from 1 species